rnacentral:misc_RNA from 1 species
GAUGAAGAACGUAGCGAAAUGCGAUAAGUAAUGUGAAUUGCAGAAUUCAGUGAAUCAUCGAAUCUUUGAACGCACAUUGCGCCCGCCAGUAUUCUGGCGGGCAUGCCUGUUCGAGCGUCAUUACAACCCUCAAGCCCCCCGGCUUGGUGUUGGGGACCGACCACCGGUGCCCUGCUGCUUCCGCGGCAGGCGCACCCGGCCGCCCCCGAAAUGAAUUGGCGGCCCCGUCGCGGCCUCCCUCUGCGUAGUAGCACACAUCUCGCAGCUGGAGCGCGGCGCGGCCACUGCCGUAAAACGCACCAACUUUUUUUACAGUUGACCUCGAAUCAGGUAGGAAUACCCGCUGAACUUAAGCAUAUCAAUAAGCGGAGGA